GCCAGGUGUGGUGGUGCGCACCUGUAAUCCCAGCUACUCAGGAGGCUGAGGCAGGAGAAUCGCUUGAACCCAGGAGGCAGAGGUUGCAGUGAGCCAAGAUCACGCCACCAUACUCCAGCCUGGGUGACAGAGUGAGACUCUGUCUCAA
rnacentral:SRP_RNA from 2 species